GGAAUACUGUGUGCUCAGGGCCGUCGUGUAGCUCGUGCAGCUCGUGCAGCUCGUGCAACUCUGUUCAGUUUCCCUAACCAGCAGCAGAAGCAGAAACGGGGGUUUGGAUGGAGUCAUUAAUGGUUCGUACAGUGUGCAGGGUAGGUUGAGUAGAAGCUGCACGUAGGCACUCCUGGGAAGCUGGCGCCCCCUCCCACACCUUCUGCCUUGUGCUGUCAGCCCUCCUGAGUCGAUACAAACCGUAGCCUGGGGCCCGGCCUGGACUCCCCACUGAGGUUCUGGACCACCGCUGGUAGAUCAAAGACCUGCGGAGAACAAUGGAGAGCCUUAUUUAGCCGGCCGUGGUUCACUUUGUCCGGAUGCACCGCCACACCUGCCCACGCUGUCAAUCACGCUCAGCCAUUUCAUGCUGGUUUUAUCUCCCUGUGGUUCCUGUCGUGCUUCCUGUGGAAAAAAGGAGCCUGUCUGCAGCGUGUACACAGCUGGUUGAAAGACAAGA